GAUGACGAAACAUCACUGGAGGGAUUCAACACAAUCCAUUUUUUGGACUCAUGUUGCUCCUGAAAAUACUGAACAGCUUAAAGAGACAAAAAAUGAAAUUGAGAAUAAAGUGAAGAAGAUCUUGAAGCUUAUCAAAGAUGGAGGAGAAGAAAACAAUUCCAUAGGGAACUCGAACAGAGAGUCAGAACUUUUUGACCUCGUCAAGGAUUUCCACAAACAGUGCCAAUCACUCUAUGAACGUUAUGAUCAUCUUACUGCAGAGUUAAAGGAGAAAUUUCAUGACCAAGAAG